rnacentral:rRNA from 1 species
GACGAACGCUGGCGGCGUGCUUAACACAUGCAAGUCGAACGGAAAGGCCCCUUCGGGGGUACUCGAGUGGCGAACAGGUGAGUAACACGUGAGUAACCUGCCCUUGACUUCGGGAUAACUUCAGGAAACUGGGGCUAAUACCGGAUAGGAAUCCUUGCUGCAUGGUGGGGGUUGGAAAGCUUCGGCGGUUUUGGAUGGACUCGCGGCUUAUCAGCUUGUUGGUGGGGUAGUGGCUUACCAAGGCUUUGACGGGUAGCCGGCCUGAGAGGGCGACCGGCCACAUUGGGGCUGAGAUACGGCCCAGACUCCUACGGGAGGCAGCAGUGGGGAAUAUUGCACAAUGGGCGGAAGCCUGAUGCAGCAACGCCGCGUGCGGGAUGACGGCCUUCGGGUUGUAAACCGCUUUCAGCAGGGGCGAAGCUUGUGGUGACGGUACCUGCAGAAGAAGCACCGGCUAACUACGUG